GUCUCCUUUCCCCAAUCAGUGAAACUGAUCUCUCCGUGAAGAAGCGGAGAUAGAAUUAUAAGACGAGAAGACCCCAUGGAGCUUUAAACCCAGCAACUACCUCUGUUUAAACACACCCACAGAAGUAACAGAACCCUAUUUGUCUGGUUUUAGGUUGGGGUGACCGCGGAGUAUAAAAUAGCCUCCACGAUGAAUGGGCUAACCCCUUAAUCUAAGAGUCACACCUCUAAGAAUUAGCAAUCUAACAUAAACUGAUCCGACUAUCGAUCAACGAACCAAGUUACCCUGGGGAUAACAGCGCAAUCCACUUUAAGAGCUCCUAUCGACAAGUGGGUUUACGACCUCGAUGUUG
rnacentral:rRNA from 1 species